rnacentral:rRNA from 1 species
UACGUAGGGUGCUAGCGUUGUUCGGAAUCAUUGGGCGUAAAGCGCGUGUAGGUGGCUAGUUAAGUCAGAUGUGAAAUCCCUGGGCUCAACCGAGGAAGUGCAUUUGAAACUAAUUAGCUAGAGAAUGGUAGAGGGCGGUGGAAUUCCGUGUGUAGAGGUGAAAUGCGCAGAUAUCAGGAGGAACACCGGUGGCGAAAGGCGCCACUCUGGGCCGGUACUGACGCUGAGGAGCGAAAGCGUGGGUAGCAAACAGG